GACAGAGGGUGCAAACGUUGUUCGGAAUUACUGGGCGUAAAGCGCGUGUAGGCUGUCUCGCAAGUCGGGUGUGAAAGCCCUGGGCUCAACCUAGGAAGUGCACUCGAAACUGCGAGACUUGAGUCCUGGAGAGGAAGGCGGAAUUCUCGGUGUAGAGGUGAAAUUCGUAGAUAUCAGGAGGAACACCGGCGGCGAAGGCGGGUCUCUGGGCCAUAACUGACGCUGAGGAGCGAAAGCGUGGGGAGCGAACAGG
rnacentral:rRNA from 1 species